UUCAAAUUUGGUAAAAUGGACUGCUUUGGUGUUAAGAUAUGCAAAUAAUAGGUAGAUACUCUGUUCUAUUCUUGUAACUGAAAUCUAACAAGACUAAGGUCACAAACAUCUUUCUUUUGUUUUUUUUCUUUUAGGUAAGUCAUUGCUACAUGUCUGCCAGAAGGGAUUGUGUCCAAACACCAAGUUAUGUCAUGCUCUCUGCUCUUGGCUACUCAACAUGCCCAGCAAAGACCCCUUGAGUUGAAAUCACUCUUGGCAUCAACAGAUUUCUUCCUACUCCAUCUCAGCAGAAGUUUAAGAAGCUGUUUGCAAUACGCAUAUAGCUUAACCUGAUCUCAGCUGUCCAAAGCAAAGACAAAACAAAACACAGCAACAACACAGAAAGCAACCAUCUAAACACACAGAAAAGAAAUUCAGAGCUACAGGGGAUUAAAUUGUCAGAAAUGUAAGUAUAAAUGUAAGUAAAAUCUUCUCUGCUUGCUAUUUUAGUCCAAUCAGACACAGUUUGCUCAUAAUAAAAAAUAAAUUUGAAACA
rnacentral:lncRNA from 1 species